UACGUAGGAGGCGAGCGUUGUCCGGAAUCACUGGGCGUAAAGGGCGCGUAGGCGGCUUUAUAAGUCGGGGGUGAAAGCCUGUGGCUCAACCACAGAAUUGCCUUCGAUACUGUAGAGCUUGAGACCGGAAGAGGUAAGUGGAACUGCGAGUGUAGAGGUGAAAUUCGUAGAUAUUCGCAAGAACACCAGUGGCAAAGGCGGCUUACUGGUCCGGUUCUGACGCUGAGGCGCGAAAGCGUGGGGAGCAAACAGG
rnacentral:rRNA from 1 species